CGCAAUCCCUCUCUCAAGCCUCCUCUCUCGGUCGAAAACUCAAGCCCCUCUAAUCUCCGACCGCUGCUUAACCAGUGGCCCUCUCAUGCUCCGAUCAGCACCUAGCACAACUGAAAAGGGCUAAAUGGACACCCAAAUCGACCUAAGAACCAUCUAUUUCCCUCCUAAUAACCUGUUUGAAACCCUUCUCUAAAUUUACUCUGCAAUUAAUCCUAAUCUAAGAGCUACCUACCCACUGACCACCGAUGAAGACUUGAAACAGAGCUAGGGAAACCCAUGUUACAAUGCUUGAACCGAAUUCCCCAGGGAAAGAACUUCACCCCGUUACAAUGAAUCCUUAAAAAUUUGGCGUAGGCAAUGACGAACGUGGCCUCGGUGAUCUGCGGUGAAGAAGCGCUCGACAGUGGUUUGGCUGGAGCGUGCACUGUUGCGGCUAGAUGAUCACGGGCGGCAGCAGCUUGUUUCAACUGUUGGGGUGGCAGCUUGAUGGUUUUAGGGUUUCAAAAACCCUAAUUUCAGAUGGGUUACACUGGGCCAGUUCGGGUACCCUCGGGUCGGAUCUGGAUCCGGGUCAUAAACGUGGGUUAGAACCUUGUAGUGGACUAUUGGUUGGCCUUUUAUUUAAUUUGUAAUUGGGCUUGGCCUGCACUUGAACUUUAUUUGUA